rnacentral:lncRNA from 1 species
CCGCCUUUUACUAGUCUUGGGCAGUGAUUGAUGAGGGAGACAAAGCCUCUUCUGGACUGCCCCUCAGAGCCAGGGUGGCCUGGGCCUGGGAGCCACUGGGACUGCAAAUCUGGUUUGCCACCUGGUGGCACCAGGAACAAUUGUUCUCGGUGUCCACUGUCCUGAGGAAUUGGGACUCUGGGUUCAAUCCAGUUGCUCUGCGGUUUGUGCUCUUAGAGCACAGGAUGAUGCCCAUGGGGAUGUGGUCCUCAUAGGAGAGGGGAGCAGGGCCGAGGGAAUUAGCGUGUGGACGUGCUCGGAGUACCCAGUCCACGCCGUUCCCCUGGAUAAUAGUCACUGCUUCUUUUCAUGAAGGUGGGAUAUCACCCCAUAUCCAUCUCUCCAGUCUCUACCCUGUCCCCAGAAAAAGCCCAGAGGGCAAGGGAGAAUCUGUAGAGGUUCCAGCCUUCCCAGACCACUCUCAGGACUGGGCUGUGCUCCUCCCCAGCUGAAUCCACCACCACAGGAUAAUGGGGGGUAAGUCAGAAGCCCUGGGGGGUUUCCUACCAGGCCACCUCUCAGCUGCGUGUGGAACCUGGGCCUGGCUGCAAGGCUACUGGCUUCCAGGUUGGCGGUCUCUCUAGAAAAAGGGAGGAGUUGGUCUGGCUUUAGCAUGUGACUUAAGGCAUGCCCUGACUGCCUUACCCCUUUCUGUAACUCACUUGGCAAGCUCUCUGCUGUCUGGCCUGUGCUUGCUGUGCUGGGGCCACAGAUAAGAAUCUGACACGGCCUGAGAAGCAAGGACACAAGGCAUUACAAAAAAGUGGGAAGAUGCCGUGGGAAUACAAAAGUGGGAGCAUUAUGGGGGCAGGGGGCAGUGCUGGCCAUGACAUUGGAGUUCGGCUCUGAAGGAUCAACAGGGGUCCUCAGGCAGAUAAAGAAGGACAUUUCAGGCAGAAGGAGCAGGCUGUGUGAGGGCUGGAGCAGGAAGGAAUAUAGCAAGUGGAGAAGCUCCGAGGUGCCCAACAUGAGAACAUGGGGCGAAGGCUUGGGAGCACCUGGAGUUGGGGCCAGGUCAUGGAGGGCUUUGACUGUCAGGCCAAAGGGCUUGGCCUUUGUCUGGCAAACAGAGGAGGGUCAUUCAGAAGACUGAAG